UUUUUGGUUCUUUCAGUGUAUCUCUUAGAGAUGUAUAGUUCAAAACUUCUUUGUUCUAAAGCCAUUUGAAAUCAAUUCUUUCUCUGAGGAGUUAUGUAACUAAAUUAAUAUACAGUUAACUUCAUUUGUUUCCAUUUGUUUUCAAGUUGAGACUGCUUUUUAAAAGAAUUUGAUUACUUAAAAAAAGUAAUACAUUUCUAUGAUUCAGCAAAAAUACAUCUCAGAAAUAUUCUGCUCUUCUAAUUACAUUCUUCUUUGUCCCAUGUAAGUACAGUUUAUUGACUUUUUUGUUGUUUGUUUCUUGUUUACCCUUCAAGUGGAUUUUUUUGUUGUUGUUUGGUCACAUUUAUUCCUCUCUCCGAUUCCCCACUCUCUUUACAUAUAGGGUAGCAUACCAUCGUCACCUCUUUAUACCUCACUUUUUCCACUUAAAAGUUCUGGGGCUAGGUUGUGGCUUGGUGGUAGAGUACUUGCCUGCACAUGUGAGGCACUGGGUUCAAUUCUCAGCACCACAUAAAUAAAUAAAUGUAUGUAUUGUGUCCAUCUACAACUAAAAAUAAAAAAUAAUUAUGGGGCUGGGGAUGUGGCUCAAGCGGUAGCGCGCUCGCCUGGCAUGCGUGCGGCCCGGGUUCGAUCCUCAGCACCACAUACAAUCAAAGAUGUUGUGUCCGCCGAAAACUAAAAAAAAAA
rnacentral:lncRNA from 1 species